AACGAACGCUGGCGGCAUGCCUAACACAUGCAAGUCGAACGAGACCUUCGGGUCUAGUGGCGCACGGGUGCGUAACGCGUGGGAACCUGCCCUUAGGUUCGGAAUAACUCCCCGAAAGGGGUGCUAAUACCGGAUAAUGUCUUCGGACCAAAGAUUUAUCGCCUUUGGAUGGGCCCGCGUUGGAUUAGCUAGUUGGUAGGGUAAAAGCCUACCAAGGCGACGAUCCAUAGCUGGUCUGAGAGGAUGAUCAGCCACACUGGGACUGAGACACGGCCCAGACUCCUACGGGAGGCAGGAGUGGGGAAUAUUGGACAAUGGGCGAAAGCCUGAUCCAGCAAUGCCGCGUGAGUGAUGAAGGCCUUAGGGUUGUAAAGCUCUUUUACCCGGGAUGAUAAUGACAGUACCGGGAGAAUAAGCUCCGGCUAACUACGUG
rnacentral:rRNA from 1 species